rnacentral:rRNA from 1 species
UACGGAGGAUCCAAGCGUUAUCCGGAUUUAUUGGGUUUAAAGGGUGCGUAGGCGGCCUGUUAAGUCAGGGGUGAAAGACGGUAGCUCAACUAUCGCAGUGCCCUUGAUACUGAUGGGCUUGAAUGUACUAGAGGUAGGCGGAAUGUGACAAGUAGCGGUGAAAUGCAUAGAUAUGUCACAGAACACCAAUUGCGAAGGCAGCUUACUACAGGGACAUUGACACUGAGGCACGAAAGCGUGGGGAUCAAACAGG